UCAGAUUUGAGGAAAUUGACAUCUAUGUGGACAUUUGGUUUCGAGCCUAAUGUGGCAUAAAAAGAAGGAACAUAAUGAGCGCUGAAGAAACCAGGUCCAGGCUGUGCGUCACCAGCAUUGUGCGAGAUGUCACAACAGCGCGCUCCAGCCCUGCCGAGCCUUGGCAGGUAGGAGGCUGCUGGCAAGAGCACGGGUGUUAACCUCAGGAUCCUGGCUCCGCUCCAAGCCGGGUAAUUACAUGCUGCCAGCCAAAAUUCAUCCCAUAACUUUAAUUGGAUAAAUCCUUUUUGGCCGGAGCUCCUGCUAUGCCUGUCAAACCGUCGCCACAUUUCACCCCAGAGGUGUCUGUGUUGUAGCUGCAAGUCCGUCCCUCCGAGGUCGGCCUGGCAGUGCAAAUCCGAAGGUGCUGCGGGGUCCUGUGCCACACCACACACUCGGAGACACUGUGUGAGCACCCCACCCGUGGGCCGUUCGAGAGGUUCCAGGUCUCGCACAACCCUCACUGUCUUCACCUUCCCUCUGGAGCGUUUAUCCCCAGAGCUUUAGCUGCCACUUUCCAAAAAGUCCUGCAGCGUCCUAAAGUUCCUUCCAUGGAGUGACAAAGAACAGAAGCCCCUGUCCUUCGCCUUUUCUGAGACUAUGGUAAACUGUGGCAGGUGGCAACAUGAGGGGUAGUGUUAUCCCAUCCUCCGGAGAAAACACUGAAGCCACCCACGGACUCCCAGCAAGGCUUAGCAGCUGUGGAAGGAAAGCUGCUUCAUCUUCCACUGCUCCCACCUGAGGGCAACUGGGCCUCCCUGACAGGUGACAUCUGGGCCUUUCCUUCUCCACCUCACUCACCAGACACUUGGCUCAGAAGCAGGGCCAGUGUCCCUGUAGGGCAGCAUCCCCUGAGGUCUGGCCCUGCCCAUAGAUUACAAGCUUGUGCUUUAGGAAAAGACAAGGAGACAGCGUUCCAGAAACAUCUUUCACUCCAUCCGUGUGGCCUAGAGCCUGUGACCUCCAUCAGAUGACCAGCACGGCGGGAUGUGGGCCCAGCUGUGAGCUCCUCCCCUGUGAAGCAGCGGGGGCGUUUCAGGCAGGGCCAGGAGCUGACGCGCGCCAUCCGACUCACUCAGGCUCCUGCUCAUGUUGGCUGACGUCUGCUGUUGUGGAGCCCGCGCCUGCAGUGGAGGGGUGUUUCCUGAAACCUGCGACAAAGCCGUUUUCAUUACUGUUAGUUACAUCACAGAGGAGAAGCAAGUCUGUUCCUAAAAUAGAUGUUGACUUUUUUUCCUGAAAUUUGUUCUAAUUAUGGGGCUGCAUUAAGAUUAUUUCUAAAGCUAUUAUAAUUCACAAAAUUCAUCAUCUUAUUCAGAAAAACUGCUGGGGAAUGUUUAGAGACACUGUUCCCUCAGUAACGUGAAUUUCUUUUUGCAUCGCGAGGUUUUAUCGAUAAAUGUUUACUGAAAGUUCCAGCCCAUGGACAGUGAUCACCAGCUUUUGUUAAGAGAGAGGCCACAUCUGGUGACCACAGUGACUGGUCAUGCCCGUCCUUGUGGGUCUCUGUGUCACUGUGCCCCAGGUGUGCAUAGGAAUGCGAACGCCUGCCUGUGCCGAGAAGCCCAGUCCCACGUGCAGGGGAGCGGAGACCUGCGCAGAGCCCUGGGCUGGGGUGCACCUCCCUUCUCACCCACCUGUACCUGAG
ensembl:lncRNA